UACGUAGGGCGCGAGCGUUGUCCGGAAUUAUUGGGCGUAAAGAGCUCGUAGGCGGCCUGUCACGUCCGCUGUGAAAUCCCGGGGCUCAACCCCGGGCGUGCAGUGGAUACGGGCUGGCUGGAGGCAGGCAGGGGAGAACGGAAUUCCUGGUGUAGCGGUGAAAUGCGCAGAUAUCAGGAGGAACACCGGUGGCGAAGGCGGUUCUCUGGGCCUGUUCUGACGCUGAGGAGCGAAAGCGUGGGGAGCGAACAGG
rnacentral:rRNA from 1 species